AUAUGCACAUUCAUCCUUUCAAAGAAUAAUGAACUUUAAAUUCUUAAUAAUGUUCAGGCAUUUCAGAAUGUUAAAUUCAGAAAUUUUGAUUUACAUUGUACUUUUCAUUCCCUCAGGUUGCAAAUCUUGCUGCCAUGCCACAAUAAACUAGUUGAGCCAUCUCUAACUGCCAAUCAGACUUUGAGUGGAGACCUUGUGAAAAAAUAGUUUCACCAGAAAUCCAUUUACAUCAGGCCUGACAAGGUCAUUCUAAGUGAGGAAAAAGAAUCUUCAUCUUCUGAUGGCGAGCGAAGCCAUUUAGACAGGCAGGCUUUGGAUACAGACAAAAUGGCCCCUGGCAGUGUGCUUGCCUUUUCCAAAGAAACUGUCGAGGCCCAGUCCUUCACCAGCAAUACCCCUUCCAUCCUAAGUGGUGAUCAAGUUUUCUUUUGUGUUGCCACCGAAGACAUCUGCACCAAAGAACCUUCUAUCUCAGCUGACGCCCUUACCAUGACCACUAGCGAUGCUGUCGUCACUAUUGCUGAGCCCCUCCCCUUGU